AGGGCAAAGGGUGAAUGCCUUGGCGCUUAGGACCGAUGAAGGGCGUAGCAGGCUGCGAUAAGCCUCGGGGAGCCGUCAAGCAGGCUUUGAUCCGGGGAUACCCGAAUGGGGCAACCCGCCCGCAGGAUCCACCUGCAGGCAUCCCCUCCUGAAUCUAUAGGGAGGGGAAGGGAACCGGGAGAACUGAAACAUCUAAUUAUCCCGAGAGAAAAGAAACAGACAUGUAUUCCCUCAGUAGCGGCGAGCGAAGGGGGAACAGCCUAAACCUUUAAGGAGGCUAAAAGCUUAUCCUGUUCUCCUUAAAGGGGUUGUAGGGGGUCUUAGGCCGGUAGAUAAGAACCGGCAAGAAGUUACCAAGAAAAGAGUUAGGAGAAACGGGCUGGAAAGCCCUGCCUUAGAAGGUGAAAGCCCUGUAUCCGAAAACCCUUUUCCUUCUUAAGACCUACCUGAGUACCUGGAGACACGAGGAAUCUUCAGGGAAUCCGGGGGGACCACCUCCCAAGGCUAAACAUUACUAAGCGACCGAUAGUGAACUAGUACCGUGAGGGAAAGGUGAAAAGAACCCCGGAAGGGGAGUGAAAUAGAACCUGAAACCCUUUGCCUACAAGCGGUGGGAGAGAGGUGAUCCGAGCAAUCGGAUCCGCUUGACCGCAUGCCUAUUGAAGAAUGAGCCGGCGAGUUUAAGAUGGUGGUGGCUAAGGUUAAGAAGCUCCGCUUCGAAGCCGUAGGGAAACCGAGUCUGAAUAGGGCGUUUAGAUCACCAUCUUAAGACCCGAAACCAGAUGAGCUACCCAUGGUCAGGGUGAAGGUGAGGUAAGACUCACUGAAGGCCCGAACCCGUUAGAGGUGAAAAUCUAUGGGAGGAACUGUGGGUAGAGGUGAAAUACCUAUCGAAUCUGGAGAUAGCUGGUUCUCCCCGAAAUGCAUUUAGGUGCAGCCUCCGGGGAGCUUGGAGUGGGGGUAGAGCACUGGUUGGGCUAGGGGCGCUGGCUGCGUUUCCAAACCCUGUCAAACUCCGAAUACCACUACCAUGCCCCGGGGAGUGAGUCCGUGGGGGAUAAGCUCCAUGGGCGAGAGGGAAACAUCCCAGAUCACCGACUAAGGUCCCUAAGAGGUCUUUAAGUGUAUUAAGGAAGUGGAACUACUCAGACAGCCAGGAAGUUGGCUUAGAAGCAGCCACCUUCUAAGGAGUGCGUAACAGCUCACUGGUCGAGUGGUUCUGCGCCGAUAAUGCCGGGGGCUUAAAAGAUCCACCGAAGUCGUGACUUCUUCUCCUUAGGAGAAGAGGGGUAGGGGAGCGUUCCCAUUCCACUGAAGAUAGACCGUGAGGACUGUUGGAGGGAUGGGAAGUGAGAAUGCCGGCACAAGUAACCAUAAGUGAGGUGAGAAUCCUCACCGCCGUAAGCCUGAGGUUUCCUGGGGAAGGGUCGUCCACCCAGGGUCAGUCGGGUCCUUAGUUGAGGCCGAAGGGCGUAGAUGAUGGACAACGGGUCAACAUUCCCGUACCAGGCCGGUGGAGUUUUAAGGGGGACGCUGUAGAAGAGAACAUCCAGGAGAAGGUCCUGGUCUAACCUCCCCUAAGGGAGGGAUGGGGACCCCGUAAGGGGGAACUGUUUGAAUCUAUCAGCCUGGAAAAGCCCUUAAAGCGAUGAAACCGGACUGCCCGUACCGCAAACCGACACAGGUAGGCAGGCAUAAAUGUGCCAAGGCGUACGAGAGAAACCUUCUUAAGGAACUCGGCAAAAGAACCCCGUAACUUAGGGAUAUGGGGAGCCCCUCGUAAGAGGGGUCGCAGAUAAUUAGCUCAACCGACUGUUUACUAAAAACACAGGUCUCCGCAAAGCCGUAAGGCCAGGUAUGGAGGCUGAAGCCUGACCAGCGCCGGAAGGUCACGGGGAGAGGUUAUUCUGAGAUUAACUCGGGAGAAGCUUUGAACUUAAGCCCCGGUUAGCGUCGGCUGUAACUAUAACAGUCCUAAGGUAGCGAAACUCCUUGUCGGGUAAGUUCCGACCCGCAUGAAUGGUGUAACGAGUUGAGCGCUGUCUUGAGAAGGUACUCGGUGAAACUGCAGUGCCCGUGAAGAUGCGGGCUACCCGCAGCAGGACGGAAAGACCCCGUGGAGCUUUACUGUAGCCUGAUCUGGAGUUUUGGUCUGGGAUGUACAGGAUAGGUGGGAGGCUAAGAAGGAGGAGCGUCAGCUUCUCUGGAGCCAACCUUGGGAUACCACUCUUCUUAUACUGAAACUCUAACCAGACACCUUGAACCAGGUGGUGGAACAGGGUCAGGUGGGCAGUUUGACUGGGGCGGUCGCCUCCUAAAAGGUAACGGAGGCGUCCAAAGGUUCCCUUCGGAGGGUUGGAAAUCCUCUUUUAAGUGCAAAGGCAUAAGGGAGCUUGACUGUUUAGGCUAACCGGCCGAGCAGGGACGAAAGUCGGGCUUAGUGACCCGGUGGUACCGCGUGGAAGGGCCAUCGAUUAACGGAUAAAAGCUACCCCGGGGAUAACAGGCUUAUCUUCCCAGAGAGUCCAUAUCGACGGGAAAGAUUGGCACCUCGAUGUCGGCUCGUCGCAUCCUGGGGCUGGAGAAGGUCCCAAGGGUUGGGCUGUUCGCCCAUUAAAGCGGCACGCGAGCUGGGUUUAGAACGUCGUGAGACAGUUCGGUCCUUAUCCGCUGUGGGCGUUGGAGAUCUGAGAGGCACCAUCCUCAGUACGAGAGGACCAGGAUGGAGGAGGCGCUGGUGUAAAAGUUGUCCCGCCCGGGGCAUCGCUUUGUAGCCAUCCUCAAGGGGAUAAGCGCUGAAAGCAUCUAAGUGCGAAGCCCUCCUCAAGAUGAGAUCUCCCAUCCUACAAAAGGAGUAAGAUCCCGGGAAGACUACCCGGUAGU
rnacentral:rRNA from 1 species